UUCUACUUUUUUGGGCUCCACAUGGAGUAUUUUUAUUCAAAGAAAAGUGCAAACAAACAACCACUCAGUGCAACCUUUGUUGCAGGUCAGGGUGGGGGUUGGGCGACUGGUGCAGGGAGUACAGUAGGUGUGAAAACCCCUGAUGGGGGGUGGAUGUGCCUCACUCCCCUCUUCUUAGUGGCUGUGAAAAUGAAGAUAAAUUACUAUGUAGAACACAAAAUAAAUAAUAACAUCUGAACAUUUCCCUGAAGGACACAAAGGUUGUGGAUAUAUGUAAACUUAUUCAAUAAUUUGAGUAACCAUGACCUGUACUAUAUUUUGUUUGCAUUUGUAUUUACUUCAUGUUUUUGUUUUCAUAAAUAAUAUAUUCAAAGACAGAUAAAAUGCAACGUCUGCAAGCAAAGUAAGCCCAAAACGAACAAAUAUAGUGGAACUGCAGUAAUAUUCAAUGCUAUUGGAUUGCCAUACUUACUACUGUGUUUACAGUUUCAUGACAAAGGUGUUAUGCAUAUCAUGCAUAUCAGUCUACACAACACUGAGCCUUAUAAAUAAAUGCAAAUACUUACUAGUAAACGAGGUCCACUUCUAAUGUAAACAAUGCCUCCUCCUCGGAGACGACGUCGUUUCUGCUAAGUCAGAGGAGUCCUCAAAUUCACCGUCUGAGCCCUGCUGAAUUUCUCAUAAAAUGUCCGCCACAUCCCUCUAAGAGUUGAAUGUUUCUUCUCCAUUGUUGAAAAGUACUCAAAAGAAGUUUUAUAAGUGGUGGAGAAAGUUUACAGGAGAGUCCCGAGUGAUCAGCGUGCGAUGCAGCAGUCUGCCUUUGUCUGUGGGGCGCUGCACCUAAGAGC
rnacentral:lncRNA from 1 species